rnacentral:misc_RNA from 1 species
GAUGAAGAACGCAGCGAAAUGCGAUACGUAAUGUGAAUUGCAGAAUUCAGUGAAUCAUCGAAUCUUUGAACGCAAAUUGCGCCUGCCAGCACUCUGGCAGGCAUGCCUGUUCGAGCGUCAUUUCAACCAUCAAGCCCUAGGCUUGCGUUGGAGCCCUGCGGCUGCCGCAGGCCCCUAAAAGCAGUGGCGGGCUCGCUAUCACACCGAGUGCAGUAGAUUACUCUUCGCUCAGGGCGUGUGGCGGGUUCCAGCCGUGAAACCCCCUACUUCUCAAGGUUGACCUCGGAUCAGGUAGGAAUACCCGCUGAACUUAAGCAUAUCAAUAAGCGGAGGA